GCCUUCGUGGUAUAGUGGUCAGCACACUGAGCCGGUAUUUCAGAGGUCCGUGGUUCGAUUCCCGGCGAAGGCA
rnacentral:tRNA from 1 species